rnacentral:rRNA from 1 species
AUGGUUUGACCUCGGAUCAGG